rnacentral:lncRNA from 1 species
UGAGGAUGAUGGCUAGCAUGGAUGACGUUUGGUCAGCAGCUCAUAGUGAGGAGAAAGGAGUACCUCCUCCUGGCAAUCAUUUCUCCCCUCAGAGAUGGCUGAUUUGCCAAUUCCUCCGUUGUGAAAUGGGGAAAGAGGACAGACAAGAAGUAUUUCUUUUCUGACAUAGUGUGAGCCAAAAGAGUCAAGUCCAGUGGCAGGACAAAAGCCAGGACAACUGGUGAUGGCCUGGGAUUCAGUGGAUGACCGCGGCAUCUUAGACGUUUGACCAAGCUCUAGGAGUUUUUCAGCAUAUCCAUGAGCAAUUAAUAUUUACUCAGUUGUUUAGAUCUGUCUUUAUUGGUAUGAAAAGUGUUUUGUAAUUGUCUUCAUAUAGUCCCGGGGUUUGUCUUGACAGGUAGCUCCCAAGUAUUUUAUAUUAUCUGCAGUUAUUUUAAAUGGAAUUUCUCUUUCUACCUCUUGCUGCUGGGUUUUACUGCUAAUAUAUAGAAAUGCUGAUGAUUUAAUGUGGGCUUAUUUUAUAUCCUGCAGCUUUUCUAAAGCUGUUCAUUGUUUCAACUAAUUUUUUAGUUGAUUCUCUAGGACUCUCUAAAUAUGCUAUAUAAUAUCUUCUGCAAAAAAUGAUAGUUUUAUUUCUUCAUUGUCUGUUUUUAUUGCUUCAUUUUUUUCUUUAAUUACUGCUAUAGCUAGCAUUUCUAAUACAAUUUUAAAAAAUAAAGCCCUUACCUUUUGCCUUAGAAUCA